GACGAACGCUGGCGGCGUGCUUAACACAUGCAAGUCGAGCGGUAAGGCCCUUUCGGGGGUACACGAGCGGCGAACGGGUGAGUAACACGUGGGUGACCUGCCCUCAGCUCUGGGAUAAGCCUGGGAAACCGGGUCUAAUACCGGAUAUGACUCCAUGACGCAUGUUGUGGGGUGGAAAGCCUUGUGCGGCUGAGGAUGGGCCCGCGGCCUAUCAGCUUGUUGGUGGGGUGAUGGCCUAGCAAGGCGACGACGGGUAGCCGGCCUGAGAGGGCGACCGGCCACACUGGGACUGAGACACGGCCCAGACUCCUACGGGAGGCAGCAGUGGGGAAUCUUGCGCAAUGGGCGAAAGCCUGACGCAGCGACGCCGCGUGAGGGAUGACGGCCUGGUU
rnacentral:rRNA from 1 species